AGUAGGAUAGCUGGAUCAAAUGGUUGAUCUAGUUUUUUGAAGAAUCUCUGUACUACUUUCCAGAGUGUUUGCACCAAUUUGCAGUCUCACCAGCAAU
rnacentral:pre_miRNA from 1 species